AUUGAACGCUGGCGGCAUGCCUUACACAUGCAAGUCGAACGGUAACAGGUUAAGCUGACGAGUGGCGAACGGGUGAGUAAUAUAUCGGAACGUGCCCAGUCGUGGGGGAUAACUGCUCGAAAGAGCAGCUAAUACCGCAUACGACCUGAGGAUGAAAGCGGGGGAUCGCAAGACCUCGCGCGAUUGGAGCGGCCGAUAUCAGAUUAGGUAGUUGGUGGGGUAAAGGCCCACCAAGCCAACGAUCUGUAGCUGGUCUGAGAGGACGACCAGCCACACUGGGACUGAGACACGGCCCAGACUCCUACGGGAGGCAGCAGUGGGGAAUUUUGGACAAUGGGCGCAAGCCUGAUCCAGCCAUGCCGCGCGCGGGAAGAAGGCCUUCGGGUCGUAAACCGCUUUUGUCAGGGAAGAAAAGGUUCUGGUUAAUACCUGGGACUCAUGACGGUACCUGAAGAAUAAGCACCGGCUAACUACGUGCCAGCAGCCGCCGUAA
rnacentral:rRNA from 1 species